CCUACGGGUGGCAGCAGUGGGGAAUAUUGCGCAAUGGGCGAAAGCCUGACGCAGCGAAGCCGCGUGCGGGAUGAAGGUCUUCGGAUCGUAAACCCCUGUCAGCAGGGAAGAACGGUCACUGUGCUAAUCAGCAGUGAAUUGACGGUACCUGCAAAGGAAGCCCCGGCUAACUCCGGGCCAGCAGCCGCGGUAAUACGGAGGGUGCGAGCGUUAAUCGGAAUUACUGGGCGUAAAGGGCACGUAGGCGGUAUGUCAAGUCAAGGGGGAAAUCCCCGCGCUCAACGUGGGAACUGCAUUUGAAACUGGAAAACUUGAGUGUGUGAGAGGAAGGUGGAAUUCCAGGUGUAGGAGUGAAAUCCGUAGAUAUCUGGAGGAACCUCAGUGGCGAAGGCGACUAUCUGGCACAUAACUGACGCUGAGGAGCGAAGGCGUGGGUAGCAAACAGGAUUAGAUACCCUUGUAGUC
rnacentral:rRNA from 1 species